rnacentral:lncRNA from 1 species
GCUUGUGUGAAUGAGGCAGAACUGAAAUGAUACCAAGGGGAUUUCCACUGAGAACCGAUAGCCCCGGUUUCCUGUUGGAACUGUGUGUCCUCACUUCAGAAAGCACAGGACAAAGAGGGAGAUGAAGGGGAGAAAAAUAGGAAGGGAAGAAGUCAAAGUACGGUUAUUUGCGGGCAACAUGCUUUUGUAUGAAAGAGAUCCCUCAAACUCGGAUCUCAAAGACACUUAAGCAAAGCGACAGAAUAUGAAGCUAACAUAUGAGAAGCCUGAAGCCUUCUUACAAACAAUAACAAAAGUGCUGAGGAAGAAAUCAGGGAAACACUCCUAGGAUUCUCUAACAAAAUAGACAUGAUUGUCUAACAAAAUAAAAACAAAACCUCGGAAUUAACCUAACCAAGAACGUGAGAAACUUCUACAACUAAAACUUUAAAACACCGAAGAAGACACUACACUAGGAGAUAAAAGGACCUCCCACGUCCAUGGAUCAGAAGAAUUAAGAAUCCUGAAAAUGGCUGUAUUAGCAAAAUCAGUCUGCAAAGAUUGCACAGAGGAAGGUCCAGUGAAGGGUAUAAUGAGGCCCUGGCCUUCUACAAACCAAGGAAAUCAUGAUCACCAGAAAGACAUCCUGCAUGGAACUUGAUCAUGGUGGCUCGGCUCCUGGAUGGUGAGCAAACAAGCUUCUGUUUAAAGCAUCAAGUCUGACAUUAUGUUAAGGAAACCCAAGCAACUGAGUCACACUAUCUGGUUGAUAUGAUCACCAAGUCCUUUACAGGUCAGAAAACUGAGGCUCAGAGAUGGCGUAACUGACUGGUGAGCUGCUUCCAGCCAACGUUUCCCUGAGCCUGUAUUUUACUGGGGAGUACAAAGCUCUGAAGUAUCCUCACUUAUUGCAGGCAGCUUUCAGGCUCUGAGCAGUCCAUGCAUCCUCCAACCUAUGGAUGACCAGAAGCUGAGAAAGCACUCCUAGCUUUAUGUUGGGAUUGGGAGAGAGCAAGACUUUAGCCCAGGAAUAAAGCUUCCUCAGAGAGCAGCCCAGUGAUACAAGGUCAGCCACCUGGACAAAAAGAACCCAAACCAUAUAUGGGUUGUUCCUUUUAUGCUUGUGGCAGCAAUAAAUUCUUUAUAGUGUAAGUAGUUCCAUUUGAUGCAUAUUUUACCAUGCCUCAUGCCUGACAUAAGGAAAACGUCUCGUUACAUAAUAAAUUUUUUAAUAUUAA